rnacentral:rRNA from 1 species
AAAGGAUACCAGAAGUAGCUAGGCUAACCGCAAGGGGGCCGGUUACCACGGUAUGUUUCAUGACUGGGGUGAAGUCGUAACAAGGUAGCAGUAGGUGAACCUGCAGAAGGAUCA